AACGAACGCUGGCGGCAGGCCUAACACAUGCAAGUCGAGCGCUCCAGCAAUAGAGAGCGGCGCACGGGUGAGUAACGCGUAGGAAUCUACCUUGUAGUACGGAACAACAGUUGGAAACGACUGCUAAUACCGUAUACGCCCUUCGGGGGAAAGAAUUUCGCUAUAAGAUGAGCCUGCGUUAGAUUAGCUAGUUGGUGAGGUUAUGGCUCACCAAGGCGCCGAUCUAUAGCUGGUCUGAGAGGAUGAUCAGCCACACUGGGACUGAGACACGGCCCAGAAUCCUACGGGAGGCAGCAGUGGGGAAUAUUGGGCAAUGGGCGCAAGCCUGACCCAGCCAUGCCGCGUGAGUGAUGACGGCCUUAGGGUUGUAAAGCUCUUUUAGUGGUGAGGAUGAUGACGGUAACCACAGAAAAAGCCCCGGCUAACUUCGUGCCAGCCGCCGCUGUAA
rnacentral:rRNA from 1 species